rnacentral:rRNA from 1 species
GACGAACGCUGGCGGCGUGCUUAACACAUGCAAGUCGAGCGGAGCGGCGAACGGGUGAGUAACGCGUGAGUAACUGCCCCCCUCUCUGGGAUAACAGUUGGAAACGGCUGCUAAUACCGGCUAGUGGGGGAUGACUCGCGUCCGAUGAGUUUGUUGGUGGGGUAGUGGCCUACCAAGGCGACGACGGGAAGCCGGCCUGAGAGGGCGACCGUCCACAGUGGGCUAGGCUACGGCCCAAACUCCUACGGGAGGCAGCGGUGUGGAAUAUUGCCCAAUGGGGGCAACCCUGAUGCAGCAUCGCCGCGUGCGGGAUGACGGCCUUCUGGUUGUAAACCGCUUUCAGCCAUGACGCGGUAGUUGCAGAAGAAGCACCGGCUAACUACGUGCCAGCAGCCGCGGUAAUAC